AUUGAACGCUGGCGGAAUGCUUUACACAUGCAAGUCGAACGGCAGCACGGGGGCAGCCCUGGUGGCGAGUGGCGAACGGGUGAGUAAUACAUCGGAACGUGCCCGGUCGUGGGGGAUAACGUAGCGAAAGUUACGCUAAUACCGCAUACGAUCUGAGGAUGAAAGCGGGGGACCUUCGGGCCUCGCGCGAUCGGAGCGGCCGAUGUCAGAUUAGGUAGUUGGUGGGGUAAAGGCCUACCAAGCCGACGAUCUGUAGCUGGUCUGAGAGGACGACCAGCCACACUGGGACUGAGACACGGCCCAGACUCCUACGGGAGGCAGCAGUGGGGAAUUUUGGACAAGGGGCGCAAGCCUGAUCCAGCCAUUCCGCGUGCAGGACGAAGGCCUUCGGGUUGUAAACUGCUUUUGUACGGAACGAAAAGGCUCUGGCUAAUACCUGGGGCUCAUGACGGUACCGUAAGAAUAAGCACCGGCUAACUACGUG
rnacentral:rRNA from 1 species